CGGCCGCGGUACCCUGACCGUGCAAAGGUAGCAUAAUAAGUUGCCUCUUAAUUAGAGGCUAGAAUGAAUGGAUUUACAAAAAUACAGCUGUCUCCUAACUCACAUAUAAAAACUAAAUCCCAGGUGAAGAUGCCUGGCUUCAACUAAAGGACAAAAAGACCCUGUUGAGCUUAACUCUAAAUAAUACUUUAAAGUUUACUAUGAGUUUAGUUGGGGCGACUUGGGAAAAUAUAAAGCUUCCCUUAAAUAGAGACAACUUGUCAAAUAAAUGACCUGCAAAAGCAAUCAACAGAAAAGCUACCAUAGGGAUAACAGACUAAUCCUCCUUAAGAGCUCAAAUUGACAGGAGGGAUUGGCACCUCGAUGUUGGCUUAAGGUUCCCUUUAAGUGCAGCAGCUUAACGGGUAGGUUUGUUCAACCUUUAAAACCUUACGUGAUCUGAGUCAGACCGGA
rnacentral:rRNA from 1 species